rnacentral:rRNA from 1 species
UACGUAGGAUGCAAGCGUUGUCCGGAUUUAUGGGGUUUAACGGGUGCGUAGGCGGCCUAUUAAGUUAGUGGUAAAAACCUUCGGCUUAACCGGAUACCCGCCAUUGAUACUGAUAGACUUGAGUGCGACAGAGGGUGUUGGAAUGUGUGGUGUAGCGGUGAAAUGCUUAGAUAUCACGCAGAACGCCAAUUGCGAAGGCAGAUGCCUAUGUCGUAACUGACGCUGAGGCUCGAAAGCGUGGGGAGUAGACAGG